UAGGGAAUCUUGGACAAUAGGCGAAAGCCUGAUCCAGCAAUGCCGCUUGCACGAUGAAGGUCUUCGGAUUGUAAAGUGCUUUUAUAAGGGAUGAGUAAGGACAGUACCUUCUGAAUAAGCCUCGGCGAACUACGUGCCAGCAGCCGCGGUAAUACGUAGGAGGCAAGCGUUAUCCGGAUUUAUUUUGCUUAAAGCGCGUGCAGGCGGUUUGGUAAGUUGGAUGUGAAAUCUCUUGGCUUAACCGGGAGAGGUCGUUCAAAACUUCCAGACUAGAGAGUGGUAGAGGAAGG
rnacentral:rRNA from 1 species